CCUACGGGAGGCAGCAGUGAGGAAUAUUGCUCAAUGGGCGCGAGCCUGAACCAGCCAAGUAGCGUGAAGGAUGACUGCCCUACGGGUUGUAAACUCCUUUUAUCAAGGAAUAAAGUGAUUCACGUGUGCCUCUUUGUAUGUACUUUAUGAAUACGGAGCGGCUAACUCCGUCCCAGCAGCCGCGGUAAUACGGAGGUGCCGAGCGUUAUCCGGAUUUAUUGGGGUUAAAGGGAGCGUAGAUGGGGUGUUAACUCAGUUGUGAAAGUUUGCGGCUCAACCGGAAAAUUGCAAUUGAUACUGGCAGCCUUGAGUACAGUUGAGGUAGGCGGAAUUCGUGGUGUAGCGGUGAAAUGCUUAGAUAUCACGAAGAACUCCGAUUGCGAAGGCAGCCUACUAGACUGCCACUGACAUUGAUGCUCGAAAGUGUGGGUAUCAAACAGGAUUAGAUACCCGUGUAGUC
rnacentral:rRNA from 1 species